UUCACAAAUAAGAUGAUAGCAUCGUAGGGUUCUAUGGUGCGACUUGAGUUUCUUUGCUUGCGCUAUGGCUCUAGUACUAUCACAAUAUAGUGAAACUAGACCAUCAAAAGAGAAAAUCACUCCAAGUUCAGUGAUGAACUUCUUCAACUAAACAGCCUCCUUUGCAGCAUCAGAUAUCGCAACAUAUUCUGCUUCGCAUACUGAGUCACCAUCGUAUGCUGCUUGAAACUCUUCCAGCAAAUUGCUCCUCUGUUUUUGAUGAACAUGAAGGAUUGGAUAGUGCACCAGAAUAGUUCGGAUUAGAUGCAGCAAAAUUUAAAUUUUUUUUAUUCGAUCCGACGUACGAGACUUAGAUCCAAAUCAGAUAAAAUCAUAAUAAACAGCAUAUUAAAUAAUAAAAAUCAACAUGCAUAAGAGAUAAGAGGUGAUCUCAUCACCGUGCGUGGAUAGAUGAUCUCCAUGUUUGAUGAUUUGAUGACCUCUGAGGUUCACUGUGGAGCCGCGCGUAUGUCCGACCUCUAUAGGCAUCCACUCAGACUUUAUCUAAGAUACCUUCUCCUCGAUCAAUUCACCUACUCCUAGAUGAAAUUGCAAACUCCUUGAUCAAAUUCAAAUCUAAUCACCAACAGGACUCCGAUCAGCCCCUGAUCGCAGUCAUUUCGAUUCUUUGCGUAGAAUUGAUGGCGUUCGAUACCUUGAACCAACCAGUUGGCUCCUCCAACACCCUUGGAUGUGGAAGAGGGAUGGAUAUCAGAGAUAGAAGAGGGAGGAGGCAUGGAAAGGAGGAAGAGAGUUGUGAAAAAUGAUCUAUUGG
rnacentral:lncRNA from 1 species